rnacentral:sRNA from 1 species
GCCAGGAGAGGUGGUGCACACCUGCAAUCCCAGUUACUGGGGAGGCUGAGGCAGGAGGAUCGAAGGUUCUAGGCCAGCCUCAGAAACUUACAUCCUGUCUCAA